rnacentral:rRNA from 1 species
GACGUAGGGCGCGGAGCGUUGUCCGGAUUUAUUGGGCGUAAAGAGCUCGUAGGCGGCUUGUUGCGUCAGACUGUGAAAACCCGCAGCUCAACUGUGGGCUUGCAGGCUGAUACGGGGCAGGGCUUGAGUUCGGUUAGGGGGAGACUGGGAAUUCCUGGAUGUAGCGGUGAAAUGACGCAGAUAUCAGGGAGGAACACCGGUGGGCGAAAGGCGGGUCUCUGGGCCGAUAACUGACGCUGGAGGAGCGAAAGCGUGGGGGAGCGAAACGG